GACGAACGCUGGCGGCGUGCUUAACACAUGCAAGUCGUACGGUAAGGCCCUUUCGGGGGUACACGAGUGGCGAACGGGUGAGUAACACGUGAGUAACCUGCCCACAACUUUGGGAUAACGCUAGGAAACUGGUGCUAAUACUGGAUAUGUGCUCCUGCUGCAUGGUGGGGGUUGUAAAGCUCCGGCGGUUGUGGAUGGACUCGCGGCCUAUCAGCUUGUUGGUGGGGUAGUGGCCUACCAAGGCGGCGACGGGUAGCCGGCCUGAGAGGGUGACCGGCCACAUUGGGACUGAGAUACGGCCCAGACUCCUACGGGAGGCAGCAGUGGGGAAUAUUGCACAAUGGGCGCAAGCCUGAUGCAGCAACGCCGCGUGCGGGAUGACGGCCUUCGGGUUGUAAACCGCUUUCAGCAGGGACGAAGCUUUUUGUGACGGUACCUGCAGAAGAAGCACCGGCUAACUACGUG
rnacentral:rRNA from 1 species